UAGGGACCUUGUUAAAGAAACUGAUGUACUGCUCGUGGCCGAUGAACUCACAAGUGUAGGUAGUGUGCUACACGAGGGGCAAGUUUUCGCAAACACCACGAGGGUCUCUGGCCCCAUGAGUGGAGUUUGAUAGUAAUCCUUGCAACAAGU